AGCUGGCAGAUGAGAACAGCGAGCUCCCCCAGAAGUGGUCACCGGGGCGCAGAGCCGCCCUCGGGCUCCUCCCUUCCCCGGGGCCAAGUGUGGGCUGGGUCCUUCUUUACACCUCAAUGCCCAGGACCAGCCAGGGACGGAGACAGGCCAGGAAUCGGGGUGGGCCUUGCACAGCGCCCGCCACCGGCAACUCUGCCGGGUGCUUACUUUCCAGCAGAGGGGCUCCCCGGUCCAGGGAGGGGCCCGCCCUGCAGCUGCCACAGCCUUUCUGGACGCUGCCUGAGUGGAUCAGCUGAGGGCCUUCCUCCGAGGAAGCGGGGGCUGGAGCUGCGGGUGGGGCGGUGGGGGGCCCAGCCCCACAGGGGUGUGUCCCAGGUGCUCUCCCAGGCCCAAGGCCCCAGCCAGCCGGGCGUGCCCGCUCCCAGACCAGCACUCCUGACGCCUUCGGAAGGGGCCUCCUGCACGGGGGCUCAAGAAGUGGGGAGGGCUCUGAAUGCAGGUUGGCAAGCGGCUUCUGGCACCCCCUGGGUGCCCUGCCAUGCCAGGCACAGGUAGGGGGAGGAGAGAAAUGGGGUACACAUUCUGUCCCCCUGGCAGCCCCAGAGCAGCCCCAGGCCCAGGUUCAGAAGAGAGGGCCAUAGCCCACCCAUGGCAAGGCUAAGAGAAGACCUUGGAGAUGAUCCUUUAAGGCAGCAGUCCCCAAACUUGGUGGCCCGAGGGGCUGCUUUUUCCAUGGACUGGUGGGGGGCGAGGCAGGAGGCGGAGCUCAGGCCAGCUUCCCUCUAAGCCACUGGUGCAGGCCCAAGGCCAGCUGGGGGUUGAGGACCCUGUCCUCAGGACAAAGUCGCCCUCCCAUUGCCAAUGUCAAGAGCAAAAAUAUCGCAGUGGCCCUAAUGCCUUGACAGAGGAUUCACCAGCAAAUUCAGGUCCAUCCACAGAGGCGCCUUCAGGGGCCGUUGAUUCGGGGCUAUGUACACAGCCAGACCAAGCAGCUCUACUGGGCCAGCAGACUGCCCGUCAGAGGGCGGCAGACACCUCGGCGCAGCCCUCCGCGGUGGCAGAGAGGGACAGGCCCUGAGGAAGCUCACAGAGGCCGCACGGCCCCACGCACGGACCAGAGAAGCCAGGCAGCGGGGCGCUCGCAUCACAGUCCCUGUCCCUGGAAUUCUGGGGAGGACGCACCCACUGCGCAGUCAGCAAGGCCCCCCUGCUCCAUCCUCUGAGCCACACCAGCCAGGGCCAUAACUUGAUUUAAAAAGAAGACAAGGAAUUGAGAAGAACAAGCCAGAAACACAAAGACCACGUCGCUGUGAGAGAGGAGCAUGGGUCGUUGGCUGUCUCCGGGACACCCCCAGACCAGGGUCAGUGGGUGCAGCAGGGACCUGGAAUGGCACCGGAAACCUUUCCCCACGGUGAGGACGCUCUACCCAACUCAGCCACGCCGGCCCAGGACGCCAAGGACCCAUUUCUGGGUGCGUGUAGUGUCCCAUCCGUGCGCAGGACAGGGUGGGAGCCGGCCCUCUCUCUGAAAAGUCCUAAGAAAGAGCUGAAACUUGUAAUUGUGGUCUUUUCUGAGGACAGUUUUGCGGG